UCUAGAACUCGAGAUAUAGGCUGAACAGUGUCUGGGCUGCAGAACAAAUUCUGACUUCUCUUUUGUUGCUACAAUUUGAACUUGAAAACGACCGUUUUGAAUCUUGGACUCUUCAUUAAAGUUUUAGGCCUAUGUCUUAGCUUUCCAUC
rfam:Populus trichocarpa scaffold_12_contig_216, whole genome shotgun sequence.